UUCAAAUAGUAAGAAAAAACAAACCCCAUUUGAUGAAAUAUGAUGCAAAUGAUGGAGAAAGGAAAAAAGAUGGGUUAUUUACCCAAAUCCUUCCCCUUUCCCAGAAAAAAUAAAAGAAAAAAAGAAAUGAAAGAAGGAAAAAAGAAAAAAGAUUGUCCUUAAAUCUAAAACUGCCUAAACAAAACUAAAGCUAUAUGUACCUGGCACUGGAAUCUUUGCCUCUGAUCUCUCCAGCUUUGCAAGCCAGGCUCUUCCUCACAAAAAACAUAAAAACAAAUGACAGACUGGCUACAACUCAUUGCCCUACACACAAAUUCAACUUCAUUCACCUUCCCUCUAAGGUGAUGAUGAUCAUGGACACAACCCACAAAAAAUUUGGGUCAACUUUGACUCAUAAGACAGCAGGGAGGGUGGACUUUAGUUUGCUUAGUCCAACAUUUUCUAUAUCAGGAGGCUCCACCAUAUGGAGGCUUUCUGAUUUUGUCGACG
rnacentral:misc_RNA from 1 species